rnacentral:rRNA from 1 species
AUUGAACGCUGGCGGCAGGCCUAACACAUGCAAGUCGGACGGUAGCACAGAGGAGCUUGCUCCUCGGGUGACGAGUGGCGUACGGGUGAGUAAUGUCUGGGGAUCUGCCCGAUAGAGGGGGAUAACCACUGGAAACGGUGGCUAAUACCGCAUAACGUCGCAAGACCAAAGAGGGGGACCUUCGGGCCUCUCACUAUCGGAUGAACCCAGAUGGGAUUAGCUAGUAGGCGGGGUAACGGCCCACCUAGGCGACGAUCCCUAGCUGGUCUGAGAGGAUGACCAGCCACACUGGAACUGAGACACGGUCCAGACUCCUACGGGAGGCAGCAGUGGGGAAUAUUGCACAAUGUGCGCAAUCCUGAUGCAGCCAUGCCGCGUGUAUGAAGAAGGCCUUCGGGUUGUAAAGUACUUUCAGCGGGGAGGAAGGCGGUGGAGUUAAUAACUUCACCGAUGGACGUUACCCGCAGAAGAAGCACCGGCUAACUCCGUGCCAGCAGCAGCCGCGG